AUGAGGCUUCGUCAUGGAGCACCAGUUGCUCUGUCCGUGCUCGUGCUGCUGUGCGUCCAUGGAGGACAAGAAGCGGAGGCUGCGGGAGGCGGGUUCGUGAGGGCGCAGGGCACCCGCUUCGUCAUCAACGGCAGCCCCUACUACGCCAACGGCUUCAACGCCUACUGGCUCAUGACCAUGGCCGCCGACCCCGCGCAGAGGGGCAAGGUCACCUCCGCGCUCAGCCAGGCCGCGGCCCGCGGCCUCUCCGUCGCCAGAACCUGGGCCUUCAGCGACGGCGGCAGCAAUGCGCUGCAGUACGCCCCCGGCAGCUACAACGAGAACACCUUCAAGGGGUUGGAUUUUGUGCUGUCUGAGGCUAGGAAGAAUGGGAUUAAGGUGAUACUGAGCCUUGUGAACAACUACGACACUUUUGGAGGGAAGAAGCAGUAUGUAGAGUGGGCAAGAGGGCGGGGGCAGGCCGUCGGAUCUGAAGAUGACUUCUUCACCAACUCUCUUGUCAAGGGCUUCUACAAGAACCAUGUCAAGACGGUGCUGACGAGGGUGAACACGGUGACCGGGGUGGCGUACAAGAACGACCCGACGAUCCUGGCGUGGGAGCUGAUGAACGAGCCCCGGUGCCAGUCCGACCUCUCCGGGCGGACCAUCCAGUCGUGGAUCAGGGAGAUGGCGGCGCACGUCAAGUCCAUCGACGGCAACCACAUGCUGGAGGCCGGCCUGGAGGGCUUCUACGGCGCGUCCUCGUCCCGGGCCGCCUCCGUGAACCCGGCCGGGCGCCAGGUGGGCACCGAUUUCAUCGCCAACAACCAGGUCCCCGGCAUCGACUUCGCCACCGUGCACUCGUACCCGGACCAGUGGCUGUCGAGCUCCGACGACCAGGCGCAGCGGAGCUUCCUGGGCAGGUGGCUGGACGCGCACAUCGCGGACGCGCAGGGGACGCUGCGCAAGCCGCUGCUGAUCGCCGAGUUCGGCAAGUCGCAGAGGGACCCCGGGUUCAGCAGCGCCCAGCGGGACGCGCAGUUCGGCAUGGUCUACGCCAAGAUCUACGAGUCAGCGCGGAGGGGCGGCCCCACGGUGGGCGGGCUCUUCUGGCAGCUCAUGGCCGACGGCAUGGACUCCUACGGGGACGGCUACCAGGUCAUCUUCGCGGAGGCGCCGGCGUCCACCACCGGCGUCAUCACGGCGGAGAGCCGCAAGCUCAAGAUGCUCGGCAAGGCGUUCGCGCGGGCCGAGCGCGCCAAGCGGGACGCGGGCGGGAAGGUCACCGGUGGCAAUUAG
rnacentral:rRNA from 1 species